UUUGCUAAAAUAAAAGGUCCAGCCUGCCCAGUGACACUGUUCAACGGCCGCGGUAUCCUAACCGUGCGAAGGUAGCGUAAUCACUUGUUCUUUAAAUGAGGACUAGUAUGAAAGGCACCACGAGAGUCAUACUGUCUCCUCUCUCCAAUCAGUUAAACUAAUCUCCCCGUGAAGAAGCGGGGAUAACUUUAUAAGACGAGAAGACCCUAUGGAGCUUUAAACGAAUAACACUUGCCCCCCUCUCCUUUCAAUUUCAGAAAAAUCUAUUACCUUGGCAUCAUACUUAUAAGUUUUUGAUUGGGGUGAUCACGGAACAAAAAAUAACCUCCGCAAUGAAAGACUCUCCACAACUAAGUCAAGAACCACAACUCUACACAUCAACAAAUUGACACCAAUUGACCCAAUUUAUUGAUCAAUGAAC
rnacentral:rRNA from 1 species